rnacentral:rRNA from 1 species
UACGGAGGGGGCAAGCGUUGUCCGGAUUUAUUGGGCGUAAAGAGCGUGUAGGCGGCCUGACAGGUCUGCUGUGAAAACUCGAGGCUCAACCUCGAGAUGUCGGCGGAAACCGUCUGGCUAGAGUCCGGAAGAGGAGAGUGGAAUUCCUGGUGUAGCGGUGAAAUGCGCAGAUAUCAGGAAGAACACCUAUGGCGAAGGCAGCUCUCUGGGACGGUACUGACGCUGAGACGCGAAAGCGUGGGGAGCGAACAGG